rnacentral:rRNA from 1 species
AACAAACGCUGGCGGCGUGCCUAAUACAUGCAAGUCGAACGGGGAAAGCCUUCGGGUGAGUACUAGUGGCGCACGGGUGAGUAACGCGUGGGUAAUCUGCCUUAGAGUGGGGGAUAACCAGUCGAAAGAUUGGCUAAUACCGCAUAAGACCACAGGAUCUGCGGAUCUAGGGGUAAAAGGUUUUUCGCUCUAAGAUGAGCCCGCGUAAGAUUAGCUAGUUGGUAGGGUAACGGCCUACCAAGGCGACGAUCUUUAACUGGUCUGAGAGGAUGAUCAGUCACACUGGAACUGAGACACGGUCCAGACUCCUACGGGAGGCAGCAGUAGGGAAUAUCGCACAAUGGAGGAAACUCUGAUGCAGCGACGCCGCGUGAGCGAUGAAGGCCUUCGGGUUGUAAAGCUCUGUCGCAUGGGAAUAAGAAAGUGAAUGUACCAUGCAAGAAAGGAUCGGCUAACUUCGUGCCAGCCGCCGCCGUAAAAC